GUCACGUUAGGAGGCAGAGCCGUGAAGUCCUGUGUACCUGAGAGCUCAGAAAAAGAGAGAAGAAAAUGUUUAGAUGGGUGGAGUGGGGAGUGCCGCGCGCCGAGGCUGGCAGUCCCCACGCAGUAUGGCAGGCGGCAAGUGGUUUCCCGAUAAACCGAAAAACACAACUUCUUCAAGAAUUUCUUUGAGAGUGUAACCCCACACUUGGGAGACUAAAGCAGGAAACAGCAAGUUCAAGGGGAGGCCCUGUCCCGAAAACAGUAACAAUUAAAGCUGAAAAUGUAGCUGGCAUGUGAAAGGCCCAAGACAGGGUGUUAUACAGUAUAUGCUGGUCUUGAAUUCACCAUGUAACUGAGGAUGACCCUAAACUUCUCAUCUUUCUGCGUUUACCUCCUCCGAAGUGCUGGAAUUACAAGCAUGUGCCACCAGGAUCAGUUUAUGCCAGUGCAAUGGAUUAAAUCCAGGACCCUGUGUUUCCUCUACUGAGCUAUACCCACAGCCAUGCAUUUUCAGUCAGGAAAAAAAAACAAAACAAAAACAGAAUUCCAGAAAUGAUGCAGGUGUUUGAGAAUGAUGGCGCCCUCCACUGGCCAACUUCAUGACCCAGUGACCUGAUUUGCUGGGCACUUACAGUCACAAGAGAUCAACCUGGGACAGUGCUCUAAGCUCACUGUCUAAUGCCAAUGAAGAUUACUGGUGUCGUGUCAUGUGGAGGUAGAAGCAGGCUUUAUUAAGAAUUAUUGCAUAAGGUUGGAGUGGUGGCUCAGCAAGAAUUAUACAUAGGAUUAGAGUAGUGGCUCAGAGGUUAAAAACAUUGGCUGCCCUUCCAGAGGUCCUGAGUUCAAUUCUCAGAAAUCACAUGGUGGCUCAGAACCAUCUAUAAUGAGAUCUGAUGCCCUCUUCUGGUGUAUCUGAAGACAGCUACAGUGUACAAACAUAAAUUAAAAUAAAUAAAUCUUUAAAGAUGA
rnacentral:lncRNA from 1 species